rnacentral:rRNA from 1 species
GAUGAACGCUGGCGGCGUGCUUAACACAUGCAAGUCGAACGAUGAAGCCCGUGCUUGCACGGGUGGAUUAGUGGCGAACGGGUGAGUAUCACGUGAGUAACCUGCCCUUGACUCUGGGAUAAGCCUGGGAAACUGGGUCUAAUACCGGAUAUGACCAGUCCUCGCAUGAGGUGCUGGUGGAAAGAUUUUAUCGGUCUUGGAUGGACUCGCGGCCUAUCAGCUAGACGGCGAGGUAACGGCUCACCGUGGCGAUGACGGGUAGCCGGCCUGAGAGGGUGACCGGCCACACUGGGACUGAGACACGGCCCAGACUCCUACGGGAGGCAGCAGUGGGGAAUAUUGCACAAUGGGCGCAAGCCUGAUGCAGCGACGCCGCGUGCGGGAUGACGGCCUUCGGGUUGUAAACCGCUUUCAGCAGGGAAGAAGCUUUUGUGACGGUACCUGCAGAAGAAGCGCCGGCUAACUACGUGCCAGCAGCCGCGGUAAUACGUAGGGCGCGAGCGUUAUCCGGAAUUAUUGGGCGUAAAGAGCUCGUAGGCGGCUUGUCGCGUCUGCUGUGAAAGCCCGGGGCUUAACCCCGGGUGUGCAGUGGGUACGGGCAGGCUAGAGUGCAGUAGGGGAGACUGGAAUUCCUGGUGUAGCGGUGAAAUGCGCUGAUAUCAGGAGGAACACCGAUGGCGAAAGCAGGUCUCUGGGCUGUUACUGACGCUGAGGAGCGAAAGCAUGGGGAGCGAACAGGAUUUAGAUACCCUGGUAGUCCAUGCCGUAAACGUUGGGCACUAGGUGUGGGGGGACAUUCCACGUUUUCCGCGCCGUAGCUAACGCAUUAAGUGCCCCGCCUGGGGAGUACGGCCGCAAGGCUAAAACUCAAAGGAAUUGACGGGGGCCCGCACAAGCGGCGGAGCAUGCGGAUUAAUUCGAUGCAACGCGAAGAACCUUACCAAGGCUUGAC